rnacentral:rRNA from 1 species
CCUGGCUCAGAACGAACGCUGGCGGCGCGUUUUAAGCAUGCAAGUCGAACGGCGGGGCGGGAGCUUCGGCUUCUGCCUUAGAGUGGCGGACUGGUGAGUAACACGUAAGUAACCUGCCCUUAGCUUUGGGAUAGCCGGCAGAAAUGCCGGGUAAUACCGGAUGAGCCUGUGGGGAAGAGAUGCCUUGCAGGGAAACGGGCUUUUGGCCCGGGCUUUGGAUGGGCUUGCGGCCCAUUAGCUUGUCGGUGGGGUAACGGCCUACCGAGGCUGCGAUGGGUAUCCGGCCUGAGAGGGUGUACGGGCACAUUGGAACUGAGAUACGGCCCAGACUCCUGCGGGAGGCAGCAGCUAAGAAUAUUCCGCAAUGGACGAAAGUCUGACGGAGCGACGCCGCGUGGGCGAUGAAGGCCGAAAGGUUGUAAAGCCCUUUUACUAGCGAGGAAUAAGGCGGGGAGGGAAUGCCCUGCUGAUGACGUUAACUGGUGAAUAAGCCCCGGCUAACUACGUGCCAGCAGCCGCGGUAACACGUAKGGGGCGAGCGUUGUUCGGAAUUAUUGGGCGUAAAGGGCGCGCAGGCGGCCUAUUAAGCCCGGUGUGAAAUGCUGCAGCUCAACUGCGGGAUUGCGCCGGGAACUGGUGGGCUUGAAUCACGGAAGGGGAGCUGGAAUUCCAGGUGUAGGGGUGGAAUCUGUAGAUAUCUGGAAGAAUACCGGUAGCGAAGGCGGGCUUCUGGCCGAUGAUUGACGCUGAGGCGCGAAAGCGCGGGGAGCGGACAGGAUUAGAUACCCUGGUAGUCCGCGCUGUAAACGAUGUACACUAGGUGUAGGGGCUUGAGAGUUUCUGUGCCGAAGCUAACGUGAUAAGUGUACCGCCUGGGGAGUAUGCCCGUAAGGGUGAAACUCAAAGGAAUUGACGGGGGCCCGCACAAGCGGUGGAGCAUGUGGUUUAAUUCGAUGGUACGCGAGGAACCUUACCUGGGUUUGACAUGCGCUGGAACUCUGCGGAGACGCGGGGGCGCGGAAACGCGCCGGCGCACAGGUGCUGCAUGGCUGUCGUCAGCUCGUGCCGUGAGGUGUUGGGUUAAGUCCCGCAACGAGCGCAACCCCUACUGCCAGUUACCAGCAGGUUAGGCUGGGGACUCUGGCGGAACUGCCGGUGACAAACCGGAGGAAGGCGGGGAUGAUGUCAAGUCAUCAUGGCCCUUAUGUCCAGGGCUACACACGUGCUACAAUGGCGGCUACAAAGCGGAGCGAAGCCGCGAGGAUGAGCAAAUCGCAAAAAAGCUGCCGUAGUUCGGAUUGGAGUCUGAAACCCGACUCCAUGAAGGUGGAAUCGCUAGUAAUCGCGCAUCAGCAUGGCGCGGUGAAUACGUUCCCGGGCCUUGUACACACCGCCCGUCACACCAUCCGAGUAGAGGAUACCCGAAGCCGGUAGGCUAACCCGCAAGGGAGGCCGCUGUCGAAGGUAUGCUUUGUAAGGAGGGUGAAGUCGUAACAAGGUAGCCGUA